rnacentral:rRNA from 1 species
UACGGAGGAUGCGAGCGUUAUCCGGAUUUAUUGGGUUUAAAGGGUGCGUAGGCGGGUUUAUAAGUCAGCGGUAAAAUAGCGGAGCUCAACUCCGUCGAGCCGUUGAAACUGUAGAUCUUGAGUGGGUGAGAAGUAAGCGGAAUGCGUGGUGUAGCGGUGAAAUGCAUAGAUAUCACGCAGAACGCCGAUUGCGAAGGCAGCUUACCGGCGCCCAACUGACGCUGAAGCACGAAAGCGUGGGUAUCGAACAGG